UACGUAGGGUGCGAGCGUUAAUCGGAAUUACUGGGCGUAAAGCGUGCGCAGGCGGUGAUGUAAGACAGAUGUGAAAUCCCCGGGCUCAACCUGGGAACUGCAUUUGUGACUGCAUCGCUGGAGUGGCGGCAGAGGGGGAUGGAAUUCCGCGUGUAGCAGUGAAAUGCGUAGAUAUGCGGAGGAACACCGAUGGCGAAGGCAAUCCCCUGGGCCUGCACUGACGCUCAUGCACGAAAGCGUGGGGAGCAAACAGG
rnacentral:rRNA from 1 species